rnacentral:rRNA from 1 species
UACGAAGGGGGCUAGCGUUGUUCGGAUUUACUGGGCGUAAAGCGCACGUAGGCGGAUCGUUAAGUCGGGGGUGAAAUCCUGGAGCUCAACUCCAGAACUGCCUUCGAUACUGGCGAUCUCGAGUCCGGAAGAGGUGAGUGGAACUCCUAGUGUAGAGGUGGAAUUCGUAGAUAUUAGGAAGAACACCAGUGGCGAAGGCGGGCUUCUGGGCCAUCACUGACGCUAAGACGCGAAAGUUAGGGGAGCAAACAGG